GUGGGGAAUAUUGGGCAAUGGGCGAAAGCCUGACCCAGCAACGCCGCGUGAAGGAAGAAGGUUUUCGGAUUGUAAACUUCUGUCCUCAGGGAAGAAGAAAGUGACGGUACCUGAGGAGGAAGCCCCGGCUAACUACGUGCCAGCAGCCGCGGUAAUACGUAGGGGGCGAGCGUUGUCCGGAAUGACUGGGCGGAAAGGGCGCGUAGACGGCUGUCUAAGUCUGGAGUGAAAGUCCUGCUUUCAAGGUGGGAAUUGCUUUGGAGACUGGAUGGCUUGAGUGCGGAAGAGGUAAGUGGAAUUCCCAGUGUAGCGGUGAAAUGCGUAGAGAUUGGGAGGAACACCAGUGGCGAAGGCGACUUACUGGGCCGUAACUGACGUUGAUGCGCGAAAGCGUGGGGAGCGAACAGGAUUAGAAACCCGAGUAGUCC
rnacentral:rRNA from 1 species